rnacentral:rRNA from 1 species
GUGGAUUAGAUACCCUGGUAGUCCUAGCUGUAAACGAUGGGCACUAGGUGUGGGAGGUAUCGACCCCUUCCGUGCCGCAGCUAACGCAUUAAGUGCCCCGCCUGGGGAGUACGGCCGCAAGGUUGAAACUCAAAGGAAUUGACGGGGGCCCGCACAAGCGGUGGAGCAUGUGGUUUAAUUCGACGCAACGCGAAGAACCUUACCAGGGCUUGACAUCCCGCGAAUCCCACCGAAAGGUGGGAGUGCCCGCAAGGGAGCGCGGAGACAGGUGGUGCACGGCUGUCGCCAGCU